rnacentral:rRNA from 1 species
GAUGAACGCUAGCGGCAGGCUUAACACAUGCAAGUCGAGGGGUAUUGGUUUUCGGACCAAGAGACCGGCGCACGGGUGCGUAACGCGUAUGCAAUCUACCUUUUGCAGAGGGAUAGCCCCAGAGAAAUUUGGGAUUUAAUACCCUCAUAGUAUAGUACUUUGGCAUCAAGGAACUAUUAAAGUCACAACGGCAAAAGAUGAGCAUGCGUCCCAUUAGCUAGUUGGUAAGGUAACGGCUUACCAAGGCUACGAUGGGUAGGGGUCCUGAGAGGGAG